rnacentral:rRNA from 1 species
UACGGAGGAUCCAAGCGUUAUCCGGAAUCAUUGGGUUUAAAGGGUCCGUAGGCGGCCCUGUAAGUCAGCGGUGAAACCUCCCAGCUCAACUGGGAAACUGCCGUUGAUACUGCAGGGCUUGAAUUGCCGGGAAGUAACUAGAAUAUGUAGUGUAGCGGUGAAAUGCUUAGAUAUUACAUGGAAUACCGAUUGCGAAGGCAGGUUACUACCGGCGUAUUGACGCUGAUGGACGAAAGCGUGGGGAGCGAACAGGAUUAGAUACCCUGGUAGUCCACGCCGUAAACGAUGGAUACUAGCUGUCCGGCGCAAGCUGGGUGGCUAAGCGAAAGUGAUAAGUAUCCCACCUGGGGAGUACGAACUCAAGUUUGAA